ACGCACAGCGACCCCA
rnacentral:rRNA from 1 species